UACAGAGGGUGCGAGCGUUAAUCGGGAUUACUGGGCGUAAAGCGCGCGUAGGCGGCUUUGCAAGUCGGGUGUGAAAUCCCCAGGCUUAACCUGGGAACUGCAUCCGAGACUGCAUUGCUAGAGUAUGGGAGAGGGAAGUGGAAUUUCAGGUGUAGCGGUGAAAUGCGUAGAUAUCUGAAGGAACAUCAGUGGCGAAAGCGACUUCCUGGACCAAUACUGACGCUCAUGUGCGAAAGCGUGGGGAGCAAACAGG
rnacentral:rRNA from 1 species